AUCACAGGCAGAGGUUUAGCCCGCUGAGCCUCAUACCGUUAUCGAAUAGUCUAAUUUACGCAUCCAGACAUAUAGAUAUUUAAACAAUGAAUAUAAGUGAUCACGUUAAUCGUGUGUAAAUAAUUGGAGGAAAACACACAGCUGCUAUUUUUAAGUUAUUGGGUCUGAUUGCAGAUACAACUUCGUCAGGCGAGAGCAACUGCAAAGUCAAACGUAUCGGUUCCGCAGAGACUAUGAGUGCAGUUUCGUAGGCGAAAGACGGCAGCGAUGGUGGAAGUCAAGUGCAGCAGAGGGGAAAGAAGAAGACUGCCAAGUACAUCCUGACACGGAGAACACGGACUUAUCCCUUAAUGAAAGGAUCGCGGCUUAAGCGUGUGGAGUUUUGUGUUCACAAAAACAUCCUUCAAUUUAAUAGAAGAUGGAAGCAGAAUCUGAACUGAACUUCACAGAAUUCUGAAGAAGAGGAAGGCAUCUUCAGACAACUAUAUUUCAGAUGGCUCCUUGAUUAGGAAUCCCAUGGAAUCAUAUAUGGUGACGGUCCCACAGAAUGGCUCAGCCUUGAAAAACUGCCCUGGGCAAAACUACCUACACCAGGAUGAGGGGAAUGGCCAAAAGUAAAGGCACAAUAGGAGGAGAAUUUUACCCACUGGUGGCAAGAAUUUAGGUGUCUGAUACUUGGCAGGUAUCCAGUCACAGAAGCAGGAACCUUCUCUGUGUUGCUGAAAAUGAGCCAACACAAUUUGUCUUGUUGUGAUGAAGUCUCCGCAGACUACAGCUGACAAAUGAGAGCCGUGGUUUCAUUUCAGACAGAUGUUUCUGGAUUCUUAAACACAGUUGCCUCUGAGAACAAAAGCCGCCCUGCUUGGAACGAGCCCAGUCUUUUUUUCUUUGGACAGGCAAAUCCCGUAAUGUCCUAACACCCUCUGGCAGGCGUCCUGAAGUAUUUGGUGGCUAAUAAGUUGCUGUAUUUCUUUCUAUAUUUUGAGGAACAGUGAGGCUGUAAUUUAAAUGAUUGCUAGUUUCAAACAUUGUUAUAUUCAUCGAAUCCAUUCGUUAGAAAAAAAUCUUCAUAAAGACAAAGCUGGUUCCUCAAGUAGAUUAUAACUGUUGAAGUCCUGGAACAGGAGGCCUGUGCUUAUUGCAUGUUGUCAUUCUGAAGCAGUUUCAAGUCAAGGUUAAAUUAGUGCGACAUUAAACUAGAUCCCAGCUGAAUGGUCUGUGUGUAUGACAAUUACACAGUUCUCCAUAGACAUUGUUGAUAGUUUUAUGAACGUUACCUCUGCGUUUGUGUGUUUAUAAUGUACUGUAUUUGUGUUUGUGUGUG